rnacentral:antisense_RNA from 1 species
ACGAAAGGGGGUGCGCGGACCGAGGGGGGCCUGGCGCGCCCAGCCGCCGUUCCGAGUUGGUGGGGGUCUGUGUUGUGGGUCCGGGAUGAAGCGAGCGUGGAAAGGUGCCGGGUUCUCGAACGCUGUUUCUGUCCACUGCCACCGUCCUCCCCGUUCUGGGAGUGGGAUUAAGUCGUGUCUGUGGGUCUCGCCUUCUCCGGAUUCUGCAGCUUGGGGCCGAUUCCUCGGUCUCUACCUCCUGUUGCAGGUCCUUAAUCAUUCAACGGAGACAUGAUAACUUUAUUGGAUGGAGCAAUACUUCUUGCUAAGCAGCAUAUACACACCCAGUGACCUUGCAUGAAGAAGCAGCCUGUCUGCAGAAGAUUGCGUCUCAUCUAUACAAAGCAGGAGUGAUGUUGUCAAUGUGUGUGUGUGCAUGCAUUUAUGUAUCUGUAUGCUUGUGCAGAGAGGGGAAGAUGGGGGACGGGAUGUGGCUUUGUUACUUAGCUUGCUUGAUUUUUAUCCACAGUUAUUAAGAGGUAAAAUAUUGUAGCUCAACCGCUAGAAGUGGUCGUUUGCUUUACAGAGAGGAAAAUCUCUGCCCCAUUACCAUGGCUUGUACUUCCAGCCCCAAAAGGCAAAAAGAGAGAGCACGUAACUCAGUGGAAUCAAUAGCAUGACCAGAAAGUCAAUUCAGUCAUAUGAUGGUGGAUCAGUAUCAUCAUUGUAAAGGAGAUGAGAUCACUGUACUGUUAGAUGCAUCACUCUAACUUUCCCCCAUCACUGUGGAAAAAGGAGGGAAAAAAGCCCUCAAUCAUAAUAGGAAAGGCAAACAGUUUUUCAAACUUACAAACAUAUGUACAUGUCUUCCUCUGUAUCAUUUUAUAUAUGUUGUUUUUAUGUAUGUACCUGUACAAAAAGAUGUAAGUAUCACUUAACCUUGAGUAAUAUAAUACGUGUGAAUUCUAAUUAAUAGGUUUUAGUUCCACUAAGUAUUAAUAAUUAACGGUAACUUCGUUGAGUGUGAGAAUUCCACAAGGUUGCGUUAGAAUUCUGAAUGACAUUUUGUUUUUGCUUUAUUGGGCUUUGAUAUGUCAGACAAGAGAAUUCAACUUUUCUCCUGUGUGAAUGAAUUCAAUAGUCUGUUGAGAGAGAUGCCAGUUUUUAGGUUGCAUCCACCAUUUUUAUUUUUAGCUCCAUCUGUUGUCUUUUAUCAAGUUGCUGUUAAAACUGAUAAAAUACUUGGUUUGUAGCAUUGAUAUUGUCCCCACCAGCUUCCCUAAAAUGAGCUCUCCAGUUCUAAUCCCCAAACAUGUUUGAAUUUGUCUCCAGUUGACAUCCAAAAGUCUCAUCUUCCUGGAUUUCCUUCCUCCUCUGGCCCCCUCUGCCGUUUCCCACUCUCCCAGUUCCUAGCAUCUCCCUGACCCUUGGGUUAGAGCCCAGAUGGACCACUGAAUCCAACCUGGGAAAAUGACAGGAAGUACGUGCAUUCUUCAAAGUGAUGCAUUUGCUGUUAUUGAGCAUCUAUUUUAACAUAACUCGGAUGCAGUAGUAUUAAUUUGUAUAUGAAUAUUUCAUUUAAUAAUAAUUAUUGAGACUGUCCUCUAUAUCAGAGGUAAGCAUAUACAGUACAGCCUGCCCUUUAACUCCUUUUUCCUCACAUAACUCAAUUUUCUGUUGAUUAAAUGUUAAACUGAGAAUACAAGUAUACUUGUUAGAUUUGGCUACUUAUUGAAAGCUGCAGUUUUGGCUAGGCACAGUGUGGCUUAUACCUGUAAUCCCAGCACAUUGGAAGGCCGAGGUGGGAGGAUGGCUUGAGACCAGGAGUUUGGGACCAGCCUGGGCAACAUAGCAAGACCCCAUCUCUACAAAAAACAACAAAUAAAAAAAUGAAAAA